rnacentral:rRNA from 1 species
UACAGGGGGGGCAAGCGUUGUUCGGAAUUACUGGGCGUAAAGGGUUUGUAGGUGGCCACUUAAGUCAGACGUGAAAUCCCUCAGCUUAACUGGGGAACUGCGUCUGAUACUGCGUGGCUUGAGUGCAGGAGAGGAACGCGGAAUUCCAGGUGUAGCGGUGAAAUGCGUAGAUAUCUGGAGGAACACCGGUGGCGAAAGGCGGCGUUUCUGGACUGUAACUGACACUGAAAAAAACGAAAAGCCAGGGGGAGCAAACGGG